GUCUACAGCCAUGGCACCCUGAACAUGCCCGAUCUCAUCUGAUCUCGGAAGCUAAGCAAGGUCGGGCCUGGUUAGUACUUGGAUGGGAGACCACCUAGGAAGACCAAGUGCUGUAGGCA
rnacentral:rRNA from 1 species